rnacentral:rRNA from 1 species
AACGCGAAGAACCUUACCUGGGUUUGACAUACACCAGAAAGCUAUAGAGAUAUAGCCCCCCUUGUGGUUGGUGUACAGGUGGUGCAUGGCUGUCGUCAGCUCGUGUCGUGAGAUGUUGGGUUAAGUCCCGCAACGAGCGCAACCCUUAUCUUAUGUUGCCAGCGCGUAAUGGCGGGGACUCGUGAGAGACUGCCGGGGUCAACUCGGAGGAAGGUGGGGACGACGUCAAGUCAUCAUGCCCCUUAUGUCCAGGGCUUCACACAUGCUACAAUGGCCGGUACAGAGGGCUGCGAUACCGUGAGGUGGAGCGAAUCCCUUAAAGCCGGUCUCAGUUCGGAUCGGGGUCUGCAACUCGACCCCGUGAAGUUGGAGUCGCUAGUAAUCGCAGAUCAGCAACGCUGCGGUGAAUACGUUCCCGGGCCUUGUACACACCGCUACAGU